CAAGGGGUUCAGAGUUAAAAGAUAAACUUUUGUCUGGGCACAGGGGCUGCAGCACUUUGGGAGGCCAAAGUGAGAGAAUCACUUGAGCCCAGGAGUUUGAGACCAACCUGGAGAACAACGUGAGAGCCUGUCUCUACAAAAACACACAAAAAUUAGCUGGGCAUGGUGGUGCAUGCCUGUAGUUCCAGCCACUUGGGAGGCUGAGGCGGGAGGACCACUUGAGACCAGGAGGUCCAGGCUGCAGUGAGCCAAGAUUGUGCCACUGCACUCCAGCCUGGGCAACAGAGCAAGACCUUGUCUCAAAAACAAAUAAAUAAAUCAAGACAAAGUUUCGAGCCCUCGCUGUUGCUUAUACGCUUUAGCACUGGACACAUUAUUUAACCUCCCUAAGCCUCAGUUUUCUCAUCUGUAAAAUGGAGAUAAUGGUAUCUAUCUUGCUUCACUCACCAUAAGUGGCUGUUAAAAUGAGCAUCAGUAUAAAAUUACUUUGCUUAAAUCCUUGAAAUAAUUCUAGGAAUGGUUACCUUGGGCACCCUGAAGAAUCUGAGGCUCAGAGAGAAUAACUUUCUCCUCAGUCACAUGGACACUAAGUGAUGAAACCGACAUAUAAAUUGAACAGACAGAACUAAGCCUCCUCCGAGAGUUACGUGCACCUAUGCAUACAUACAUUUUAGAGCUCUGCUACUCAAACUGUGUUCUGCUGACCAGUAGAAUCAGAACCACUUGAGAAACACAGUUUCUAGGGCCUGACCUAAUGAAACUGAUUGUGUACCUUUAGAAGAUCCCCAAGUGAUUCUGUUACCGAAACGCCAGGGGUGUGGUCCAGGUCUUAUUGCUUGUUGCUCAGAAAGCCAUUCACUGAGAUGAGUUUUGCCAGGGAAGAAGGCUUUAACUGGGUGCUGCAGCUGAGGAGAUGGGAGAUCUGUCUCAAACCUGUCUCCUUGCUUGACUAAAAUUGGGGAGUUUAUAUAGCGAGGAAGGAGUGUAAAACAGAAUUAGGGAGGGGUGAGGAAAUGAUAUGGUUUGCUGUGUUGCCACCCAAAUCUCAUCUUGAAUUGUAGUUCCCAUCAUCCCUAUGUGUUAUUGGAGGGAUCUGGUAGGAGGUAAUUGAGUCAUGGGGGCAGUUACCCCAGUGCUGCUGUUCUCAUGGUAGUGAGUGAGUCCUCACGAUCUCUGAUGGUUUUAUGAGGGACUUUUCCCUUUUGCUCAUUCUUCUCCUUCCUGCCACCAUGUGACGAAGGACGUGUUGGCUCCGCCUUCUGCCUGAGGCCUCCCCAGCCAUGCUGAACUGUAAGCCAAUGAAAUCUCUUUCCUUUACAAGUGACCCAGUGUCGAGCAUGUCCUUAUAGCAGUGUGAGAACAGAUUAAUACAGGAAGCAAUCAUGAAUGAGCGGACUGGCAUCUUCUCUGGAUGUGGUGAUCUGAUGAGUUUCAGCUCCUUUCCUGAGGAAGCAACUCAGAUGAGACAAAUGUAAGUUUCAAGUUUUAAGAUCAGGAGGGUCAAUUUCUAUGUUUAUUCAAAAAAUUGUCCCAAUUCUAUGGGACAGUUGGGCUGGUUUUAAUUUGUGUGCACGUCCAAGUGUGAGAGGCAUGGUUUUAUGGGACAUGGUCUAAUCUCCAGUACAGUCAGGGCUUCUGCAUCUAUGGAUUCCACCAACUGCAGAUUGAAAAUUUUCAGAAAAUAAAUUCUGCAAAGUUCCAAAACCAAAGUUUGAAUUUGCUGCGCAUUGAGUACUACAUUGAAUCUACGUGACUGAAGUGACGUGUAGGCAUUGUAUUAAGUAUUGUAAGUAACCCAGAGAGGAGUUAAAGUCCACGGUUCUAUGCAAAUGCCAUGCCAUUGUCUAUCAGCAACUGGAGGAUUCACAGGUUUUGGCAUCUGCUGGGGUCCUGAAACCAACCUCCCUGUGGGUAGCAAGGGAAAACUAUACAUAUACAUCUCUGUGAUAACGAAUAGGACUUUUCCAUCAUUGGUAAGAGCCAGGGUCCUGAAACCAAC
rnacentral:lncRNA from 10 species